UAUUCUAGUCCCCUGCACUCAUGGAAGGACUAACUAUUAUUUAGAUCAUCUCUGACAGGACCAGAAUCAAAUGGAUAGCAUAAAUCAAUGUUAUCAAGGUCUCAUCUUCUUUUUCCCACUACUUUCCCCCCCAUAAUCAUACACAUUGAGAGAAACAGAAAAAUAUACAAAGCCUGUACAAAUAAGCUAUACUUGAUACACUAUGAACAAAGUGGAGGAAAAACUAC